rnacentral:rRNA from 1 species
AGCCAUGCAUGUUUCCGCAAUCAGGGACGAAUAGCUCAGUAAAACUGCGAUGAUUUAGUCUGGCUGUGUAGAUAACUACGUGAAAAUGUAGCUAAGGGAAGGCAGAAUAAGACGCAGGACUAUCAGUUAGUUGGUAGUGUAAUGGACUACCAAGACAGUGACGGUUGACGGGAAAUUAGGGUUUUGUACCGGAGAGGGAGCCUGAGAGAUUGCUCCCACGUCCAAGGACGGCAGCAGGCGCGAAAAUUGCCCACUCUUUGCAGGAGGCAGUUAUGAGACGUGAAGAUGAGUAUCUUGUAAAGAGGGAUAGGAGAAUUGGAGGGCAAGUUUGGUGCCAGCAGCCGCGGUAAUACCGACUCCAAGAGUGUGUAUGAGAGAUGCUGCAGUUAAAAAGUCCGUAGUCAUAGAAGGGCAAAGAGAGAUGCGAGGUCUCACAGUGCGAUGAUGGAGGAGCCGAUGGGGAACAUAGUAUACCAGGG